AGAGUUUGAUCCUGGCUCAGGACGAACGCUGGCGGCGUGCCUAACACAUGCAAGUUGAGCGAUUUACUUCGGUAAAGAGCGGCGGACGGGUGAGUAACGCGUGGGUAACCUACCCUGUACACACGGAUAACAUACCGAAAGGUAUGCUAAUACGGGAUAAUAUAUUUGAGAGGCAUCUCUUGAAUAUCAAAGGUGAGCCAGUACAGGAUGGACCCGCGUCUGAUUAGCUAGUUGGUAAGGUAACGGCUUACCAAGGCGACGAUCAGUAGCCGACCUGAGAGGGUGAUCGGCCACAUUGGAACUGAGACACGGUCCAAACUCCUACGGGAGGCAGCAGUGGGGAAUAUUGCACAAUGGGCGAAAGCCUGAUGCAGCAACGCCGCGUGAGUGAUGAAGGCCUUCGGGUCGUAAAACUCUGUCCUCAAGGAAGAUAAUGACGGUACUUGAGGAGGAAGCCCCGGCUAACUACGUGCCAGCAGCCGCGGUAAUACGUAGGGGGCUAGCGUUAUCCGGAUUUACUGGGCGUAAAGGGUGCGUAGGCGGUCUUUCAAGUCAGGAGUGAAAGGCUACGGCUCAACCGUAGUAAGCUCUUGAAACUGGGAGACUUGAGUGCAGGAGAGGAGAGUGGAAUUCCUAGUGUAGCGGUGAAAUGCGUAGAUAUUAGGAGGAACACCAGUUGCGAAGGCGGCUCUCUGGACUGUAACUGACGCUGAGGCACGAAAGCGUGGGGAGCAAACAGGAUUAGAUACCCUGGUAGUCCACGCUGUAAACGAUGUCGACUUGGAGGUUGUUCCCUUGAGGAGUGGCUUCCGGAGCUAACGCGUUAAGUCGACCGCCUGGGGAGUACGGCCGCAAGG
rnacentral:rRNA from 1 species